GGCUCCAUAGCUCAGUGGUUAGAGCACUGGUCUCGUAAACCAGGGGUCGAGAGUUCAAAUCCCACUGGGGCCU